rnacentral:rRNA from 1 species
UACGGGGGGGGCAAGCGUUGUUCGGAAUUACUGGGCGUAAAGGGCUCGUAGGCGGCCAACUAAGUCGGAUGUGAAAUCCCCAGGCUUAACCUGGGAACUGCAUCCGAUACUGGAUGGCUUGAAUCCGGGAGAGGGAUGCAGAAUUCCAGGUGUAGCGGUGAAAUGCGUAGAUAUCUGGAGGAACACCGGUGGCGAAGGCGGCAUCCUGGACCGAGAUCGACGCUGAGGCGCGAAAGCUAGGGGAGCAAACGGG